rnacentral:rRNA from 1 species
AGCAGCCGCGGUAAUUCCAGCUCCAAUAGCGUAUAUUAAAGUUGUUGCAGUUAAAAAGCUCGUAGUUGAAUUUCGGGAUCAGUAGGUCGGUCAUGCCUCUGGUAUGUACUGGCCUCACUGGUUCCUCCUUCCUGAUGAACCGUAAUGCCAUUAAUUUGGUGUUGCGGGGAAACUGGACUGUUACUUUGAAAAAAUUAGAGUGUUUAAAGCAGGCUAACGCUUGAAUACAUUAGCAUGGAAUAAUGAAAUAGGACGAUCGAUCCUAUUUUGUUGGUUUCUAGGAUUGACGUAAUGAUUAAUAGGGAUAGUUGGGGGCAUUAGUAUUCAAUUGUCAGAGGUGAAAUUCUUGGAUUUAUUGAAGACUAACUACUGCGAAAGCAUUUGCCAAGGAUGUUUUCAUUAAUCAAGAACGAAAGUUAGGGAUCGAAGACGAUCAGAUACCGUCGUAGUCUUAACCAUAAACUAUAGCCGACUAGGGGAUCGGGAUGAUGUUAAUUUUUAAUGUACUCAUUCGGCGUCC